UACAGAGGUCUCAAGCGUUGUUCGGAUUCAUUGGGCGUAAAGGGCGCGUAGGCUGCGGGGCAAGUCGGGUGUGAAAUCUCAGGGCUCAACCCUGAAACUGCACUCGAUACUGCUCUGCUUGAGGACUGGAGAGGAGACUGGAAUUCACGGUGUAGCAGUGAAAUGCGUAGAUAUCGUGAGGAAGACCAGUGGCGAAGGCGGGUCUCUGGACAGUUCCUGGACGCUGAGGCGCGAAAGGCCAGGGGGAGCAAACGGG
rnacentral:rRNA from 1 species